rnacentral:misc_RNA from 1 species
UUCUUGGAGUUUUCAGUUUUCUUUUCAACAUACCGCUCCAAAUAUUCUCUUGUUGCUUGAUUAACAUUUAGCACCAGUUCUUGCCCAUCAAUAUUAAAUUUAUUCAGUAGACGUAAUGCACGGAGAACUCCUUCAGCAGAUUCGAAUUCACAAAACCCAAAGCGUUUAGGAGUCCCAUCACUGGGGUCUUGAGCACGUUUCCAACUCUUGACAGGUCCACAGAACCGAAGAACAGAAAGCAUAAAAUCAUUCUCCACAGUAGGUUCUAUCUUGCCAACGUAAACAGUGGUUUGUGGUUUCUCUGCCGGUGUGAUAGAAGGAACAGCUGGCCUAAUGAUGGGGGGAAUAAUUGGACGAACACCUGGAAUUCCUGGAACAAGAGGGCGGGAUGCUGCUGG